rnacentral:rRNA from 1 species
UUAAGAUACUAAGGGCAUACGGCGGAUGCCUUGGCGAUAUCUGCCGAAGAAGGACGCGACAAGCUGCGAAAAGCUGCGGAGAGGCGCAAAUAGCCAUUGAACCGCAGAUAUCCGAAUGGAGAAAUCCGGCAGGGCUCAUCCCCUGUCAUCCAUGCCAUAGAGCAUGAGAAGGUAAGCCGGUGAACUGAAACAUCUAAGUAGCCGGAGGAGAAGAAAUCAAACGAGAUACCCCAAGUAGCGGCGAGCGAACGGGGCAGAAGCCCAAACCGGAGAAGGAAACUUCACCGGGGUUGAGGACCGUCAGAGCUUAAGAAGAAGUUAGCCGAAACGCCUGGGAAGGCGUGCCGAAGACAGUGAGAGCCUGGUAGGCGAAAACGGAGACUUAGGAGACGGAAACCAGAGUACCGCGGGACACGAGAAACCCCGUGGGAAGCAGGGGGGACCACCCUCCAAGGCAAAACACAGAUAUCGACCGAUAGCGCAUAGUACCAUGAGGGAAAGGUGAAAAGCACCCCGGGAGGGGAAUGAAAUAGAACCUGAAACCGUAUGUUUACAAGCAGUCGGAGACCGUAUAUAUAUCAGGUCGACGGCGUGCCUAUUGAAGAAUGAACCAGCGAGUUACGAGGACCGGCAAGGUUAAGCAGGAAAUGCGGAGCCGAAGCGAAAGCGAGUCUUAAUAGGGCGAGAGUCGGAAUGCGUAGACCCGAAACCACAGUGAUCUACCCAUGUCCAGGCUGAAACACAGGUAAAAAUGUGCGGAGGGCCGAACCUAUAUCUGUUGAAAAAGGUUAGGAUGAGGUGUGGGUAGGGGUGAAAUUCCAAUCGAACGUGGAGAUAGCUGGUUCUCCCCGAAAUAGCUUUAGGGCUAGCCUCAGGUGGUGAUUACAGGCGGUAGAGCACUGAUCAGGAGAGGGACCUACCCGGUUACCAAACCCAGUCAAACUCCGAAUGGCUGUAAUCAAACCUGGGAGUCAGACUACGACUUAUAAGGGCCGUGGUCAAGAGGGAAACAGCCCAGAUCAUCAGCUAAGGUCCCAAAUGCCGUGCUAAGUGGCGAAGGAUGUGGCGUUUCAUAAACAACCAGGAUGUUGGCUCAGAAGCAGCCACCAUUCAAAGAGUGCGUAAUAGCUCACUGGUCGAGAGACGCUGCGCCGAAGAUGUCCGGGGCUCAAGCACGGAACCGAAGCUAUGGCAGAUUGCUUGCAAUCUGGGUAGGGGAGCGUUCUUAUCACGGAGAAGCGGUACCGGAAGGAGCCGUGGAGAGGUAAGAAGUGAGAAUGCUGGUAUGAGUAUCGAAAAGGCUGGUGAGAAUCCAGCCCACCGAAAGCCCGAGGGUUCCUGAGCAACGAUCGUCGUCUCAGGGUAAGUCGGGACCUAAGCCGAGGCAAAGACGCAUAGGCGAUGGAGAACAGGUUGAAAUUCCUGUACCGGAGCAGUCCGUCUGAGUGAAGGAGUGACGCAGCAGGGCACACGAGCAUGCGGCUGGAAGAGCAUGUCCAAGCCCGUAGCCCGUAUGGCAGGGAAAUCCGCCAUGCAGAAGGGUGAGAGGUGACGGGGAGUUAAAGGAAACUUUGACGAACUCGUGAAUCCCACACUGCCAAGAAAAGCUUCUAGCGAGGACUGAUCCGCCCGUACCGUAAACCGACACAGGUAGGCGGGGAGAGAAUCCUAAGGUGCGCGGGAAAACCCUCGUUAAGGAACUCGGCAAAUUGCAUCCGUAACUUCGGAAGAAGGAUGGCCCUGAGUAGGCGAAGAGUCUAGCACUUGGAACCGGAAAGGGCGGCAGAAAAGAGGCCCAAGCAACUGUUUACCAAAAACACAGGUGCCUGCGAAAGCGAAAGCUGACGUAUAGGUGCUGACGCCUGCCCGGUGCUGGAAGGUUAAGGAGAGAGGUUAGCGCAAGCGAAGCUUUGAACUGAAGCCCCAGUGAACGGCGGCCGUAACUAUAACGGUCCUAAGGUAGCGAAAUUCCUUGUCGGGUAAG